GUUAAGCUACUGCUCCGGGAGGGGGACAACCCAGACUAAGGUUAACGCCCCUCAAUCCUGGCUAAGUGAUAAAUCAAAGGGCGUCGUAAUGCUAAGACAGCGGGGAGGUAAGUUUAGAAGCAGCUAUCCUUUAAAGAAAUCGUUACAGAUCACCCGCCGAGGAUUGGGGCCCCGAAGAUGGACGGGUCUCAAGCCAGGUGCCGAUACCUUAGGCAAUUUUUUAAAUUUGUGUUAGGAAGGCGUCCCGCAUGGGCGGAAGCAAGGGGGUGACCUCUUGUGGACCGUGCAGGGAUUGCAGAUCCCGGUGGUAGUAACAGCAUAGUCGGGUGAGAAUCCCGAUCGCCGAAAGAGCAAGGGUUUCUAGGCAAUGCGUCGUCAGCCUAGAGUUAGCCGAUCCUAAGUUCAGCGUUAACAUGACUGAUCGAAAGGGGAACUGGUUAAUAUUCCAGUGCUAUGGAAGUACACGAGGUAACUCAAAGCCUCACAAUCGACAGUUCGGGGAAGGUUGAGCA
rnacentral:rRNA from 1 species